UUAGCUUGCUAAUUUGCUGACGAGCGGCGGACGGGUGAGUAAUGCCUGGGAAUAUGCCUUAGUGUGGGGGAUAACUAUUGGAAACGAUAGCUAAUACCGCAUAACGUCUUCGGACCAAAGAGGGGGACCUUCGGGCCUCUCGCGCUAAGAUUAGCCCAGGUGGGAUUAGCUAGUUGGUGAGGUAAAGGCUCACCAAGGCAACGAUCCCUAGCUGGUCUGAGAGGAUGAUCAGCCACACUGGAACUGAGACACGGUCCAGACUCCUACGGGAGGCAGCAGUGGGGAAUAUUGCACAAUGGGGGAAACCCUGAUGCAGCCAUGCCGCGUGUAUGAAGAAGGCCUUCGGGUUGUAAAGUACUUUCAGUCGUGAGGAAGGCUUUGUAGUUAAUAGCUGCAUGGUUUGACGUUAGCGACAGAAGAAGCACCGGCUAACUCCGUGCCAGCAGCCGCGGUAAUACGGAGGGUGCGAGCGUUAAUCGGAAUUACUGGGCGUAAAGCGCAUGCAGGCGGUCUGUUAAGCAAGAUGUGAAAGCCCGGGGCUCAACCUCGGAACCGCAUUUUG
rnacentral:rRNA from 1 species